rnacentral:rRNA from 1 species
AGUGGCGGACGGGUGAGUAACGCGUGAGAAUCUGCCUUGGGGUCGGGGACAACCACUGGAAACGGUGGCUAAUACCGGAUAAGCCGAUUGGUGAAAGAUUUAUUGCCCGAAGAGGAGCUCGCGUCUGAUUAGCUAGUUGGUGAGGUAAGAGCUCACCAAGGCAGCGAUCAGUAGCUGGUCUGAGAGGACGAUCAGCCACACUGGGACUGAGACACGGCCCAGACUCCUACGGGAGGCAGCAGUGGGGAAUUUUCCGCAAUGGGCGAAAGCCUGACGGAGCAAGACCGCGUGAGGGAGGAAGGCUCUUGGGUUGUAAACCUCUUUUCUCAGGGAAGAAGCUCUGACGGUACCUGAGGAAUCAGUCUCGGCUAACUCCGUGCCAGCAGCCGCGGUAAUACGGAGGAGGCAAGCGUUAUCCGGAAUUAUUGGGCGUAAAGCGUCCGCAGGUGGCGAUUCAAGUCUGCUGUCAAAGCACGGGGCUUAACUCCGUAAAGGCAGUGGAAACUGAAUAGCUAGAGUGCCGUAGGGGUAGAGGGAAUUCCCGGUGUAGCGGUGAAAUGCGUAGAGAUCGGGAAGAACAUCGGUGGCGAAAGCGCUCUACUGGACGGCAACUGACACUCAGGGACGAAAGCUAGGGGAGCGAAUGGGAUUAGAUACCCU